rnacentral:lncRNA from 12 species
AUGGUUUCUAGAACUAGUCUUUCACACCAUGUUCUGAUGAGCCUAGUGGUGCUGUCACUUCACCCUCCCCUUGGGCCUGGUCUUCAAUUUCCUGAUUGCUCUUCGACUACCUUCCUGGUUUCUCAGCCCGCUGGAUCUAAUUUUAGCAACAUGAUGAAUGGCCCAGGAAUGUACUCCACUGCCCUCUGCAGAAAGGAAUAUAUAUCAGACCUGCUCAGGUGUGUGUCAUUUCUUUAUAUCGAGAGCUUUCUGCUCCCCAAGUGGCAGCCCGGGUUUUUCUGGCUGAAAGCCCCAAGUUCUGUCUCCGUUUCGGUUCGCGCAGGCACCGUUAGGAAACGACCAUGUGUGAACAAUAACCAGGUUUGCUAGCUCCAGCCAAUGAGGGAUGUGGCUCUCUUGAGCCUGGGUUUAUUGCACCAGCUAGAAAAUGACCCACUGGGGUUUUUUUCCUCCUUCAAUUCAUUUCUGAGCUGCAACUGCUUGCAGAGGACUACCCCCAAGUCCCCAACCACCAACUCCCAUUUUUUUCCCAUUUUGUCUUUAAACAGAGAAAUUUCUUUAAAAUGCAGGAAUCAUUCCACUUUGACUAGCACGAUAAGGAAUCAGUAUCUUCUUUUUUUUCUUGAGCUCCAAGGAGAAAAUGUUCAUUUUUCUUCCGUGCUACCUGUGAGUUUUCUGGCUGCUUCUGAACAUUCAUCACAGGUACCUGCACCCCACAUCUUGAUAAAACUUUAAUUUUAAAAUGAUGUUGAGGGCACAGCCCCCGGGUGGCUCAGUCGGCUGUGCAUCUGCCUUCCGCUCAGGUCAUGAUCCCAGGAUCCUGCAGUGGAGACCCCAGUCAGGCCCCCUGCUCAGUGGGGAGUCUGUGUCUCCCUCUCCCUCUCCCCCUCCCCCUCCCUCUCCCCCCUGCUCAUGCUCUCUCUCUCUCUCUCUCUCUCUCUCUCUCGCUCGCUCUCUCUCAAAUAAGUAAAAUCUUUUAAAAAAUAAAAUGACGUUGAAUUCGUUUUUAAUUCA